CCGGCGAGGGCAGAAGAAGAAGACGGUAUUUGGGAUUUGGCGGUCGCGGUGAAAGGGGUGGGUCGAGCGGUACCUUCGCCUGCUCCGGGGAGUGGGCGGCGGCGGCACCUUCGUCUUGUUCAGCCGGCACCGGCAGCUCCGGAGCAGUCCGGGCGAGCGGAGGCGGCGGCGCGCGGAGAGUCGGGCGAGGGCGCGCUAGGGAGGCCGGGCGCUGAAGGUAAAGAUGUUGUUGAAGGGGAGGAAGUUCAGGGGGCAGCGGCGGCGGCGGCGGUCCCGGCUCAGGAGGGACCCGCCGGAGCCGCGAAGGUGCGAGGAAGGGUUCGUCGUCGUCGUCGUCGGCGGAAAGGGGUGCCUCCUGGAGCUGCUGCGGAUGCUGACCGAGCAGCGGGCGUUACUGCUGGACGAGCUCUACAAACGGCGGAGGCGCCUGCUCAAGUUCCGCGACGCCCUCUUCCUCCUCCGGGUCCCUGCCUUCCAGCGCCGUCUUCUCUACCGCCCCCUGCCCAAGGUCCAACAGAUGCCGUUCUUCUUCUUCUUCUACCCAUACCCUCUCCUUCCUCAACCGUCUUCACUCCGGAAACCUAGAAGACCAAGCCACUCCUACCGGUGGUACCUAUCCCGACGUCGUAGUCCCGGUUUCGGCUUCCACGGGAAGGUGUAGGGGUGGUAGGGUGCGGGCGUCCUGCACGUGGCGUAACACCACCUGUUGUGCUCGUUCGGUAAGCUGGUACGGAAGGAACUCGCGUCACUACUACCACGGGCACGGUAUGUGGGUGACCUUUUUGAGGGGUACCUCGUUGAUAAACUGUCCGCACAAGGACUUUCACUCGGUAAUUUCGGUGGACGAAAUCUACUGUGGGGAAAAUGUAAACAACUUCUGGCCUUUUGGAACCUUCACAACCACUGUUUCGACUUCUCACGUUGACUCAAACGACAACUAAACCUUGUGUUGGUGAUAUCCAGAAAAGUCCCAGAGUGGACGGACUACGUCUAAAGUUGAUCUUGACUCCUGAAAUAACAUCUAUGAGAAUUCGAGGCGUUAACAGAACCACUCUUGAACUCUCUUCAAAAAGUUCUAGGUUGAUUCUUCUUCCAUUACGUACCCCGUCCAGCACUAUAUUAUACCGAAGUUUCUCUGAAACCUUAUAUGCACACGUUGGAAAAGCUGUGUCCCGUCCGAAGUUCUUAGAAUGUUUACCUGGCGUUGUCGGACCUCGUAGAAGACGUUAUAAAGACACCUCACUGUCGUUUGUUUCUUAUAGUCUCACGUCUAACCUCCGACUCCGGUGAAGGACUACUUUACUGGUUCAUACGAUCUCUUCUAUGUGUGAUAGACGAGAUGUAUAUACUGAACUACGCUAACGCUAACCACUUACUCAGAAGUCCGCUACUAGAAGAAAACCUCCAAACGUUCGCGUCGUUACUUUAAACGAACGUUGAUAUACUCUUCCUCGACGACUGACUAAGUAGUAUGGAAAUAUAUGUACCCAACUUUCUUUUACUGAACUCACGUUCCGUCGACCGUCAAGAACGACGUUCAUGAAAAGGACAAACUUCACAAACACUAAGAACUAUGACCGUAGAACUAGGAACUCUUCAAAAGAGGUGAACCUGUGUAUGUAACGCAAAAUAACUUUUACUUGUGUCAAGAAGGUCUGGGGUAUCAAGUCAGGAACACCUACGAAAGAAUAAAUAUGAUGUGACAACAUUCAACACGGACCAAAGAAAUUGAGGUCUACUAGAUGGAAUUACUUUUCUGUAAAAUUAAAAUAAAUACUGUAACUAGACAAAACACAAAAUACGGAGACGAACGGGUUACACGAUCUGACGAUAAACACUGAUGGAUUAUGAGUCAAUAUUCAACUUUACUUUAGUAAAGAUGGUAAGGAAUACAUCAACAAAGGGUAGUGUCCCAGAUAUAUUUACCUCUCUACCGCAGCGAGCACGACUCCUACUCUCGUGACCAAUAUAUAAUGGGUUAUUCUGAGAUGAACUUUAUCGGUUUGUCUACGGACACUGGUGACCCUCCAAUUUUUCUUGUCACUUCAGUUUUUUAUUUAAAGAACUCGUGAUAGAGCCUGUACAGUAAUGAUAGUAUUCCUUACGGCAGCGUUUACGGUUACGAAAACUUUCAUAUCGACUCGUUGACUUCUUUCCUUCCGACCUUCUCAAUUACCGCCGUCUUCGCUUCCUGCCGUCACUUCUGUGACUUUACUAAGGACGGCAGCUACGACUAUCAUUACUUUCAUUAGAAGUCGACUAACGACUUGGACUACAUCGAGGGUGUCACUAAUGUUUACAGGUAUGACGAAGAAAGACAUGACCCUUACAAUGCUCGCCUCGAAGAAAUCCAUUAAACGUUGAUCUAUUGUAGUGUGGACUUUGGUUCUCGAAACCCCGCAACGGUCCGCGAUGACCCGUUCGUCUAUGUCACUAUGGCUCGUUACCACCACCAGUCGUCGUUCAUUAUUUCCGUUGUCAAGUUCAUAGUUUCUCUGGAUGCCGAAAACCACGAGACAAUCCUUUUGGGAGAUGGCGUUCUUCCGGUUUAGAUAAAGGUCCUAAAAGUUCACUCGUCUCAUUUUCGUUCCACCUCUUCUAGUUCAGAAGGCACCAUGACGGAAAGGUAGUAAAGAGUCCACCACGUUUAGGAGGUCGUUGAUCGGAAGGUCAUCGUUUUAGCCGCCUUGGACUUCGCCUUUAGUACACGCUCCUAGGACGCAGAGCCUACCUCCUUCACUAAGUCGACCUGUGACCUUGUCUACUGGGUCUUUUGCCGUUGCGUCUACCUGUCUCGCUCACGUUUGGACCUCUGUGGUUACACAGAUCGAGGGGAGGACUCGAAAGGAGACCGUAGCUCGUCGCGAAGUCUAGGGAGUUGCUCUCGUCUCUGGAAGUUGUCUUCGUGGUUCGUGGCCUUCUUGGUCUUAAAUUACUAGUCGACUUCCGGAAGCUAAUGCGACUUCGAUCUUUCUUAUGAAGUAAACCUCUCCAAUCUAGACUCUCUUCUUUCCUGUUACAUCACCGGUCCCGAUAGUUACACCUAAGACCUCUAUUUGCCUUUUCAAACUUUGUUUGGGGGCCACGGCCACCACCCCUUCUCCUACUCCCCUUAAAGGUCUUAGGUGCUUCCGCUGUCCGAAAGGGUGGAAGACCGUUGUCCUCACGAUGCAUGGUAAUCAAUCAACUCUCUACAUGAUAGGCUGGCUCCGUAACAUACAUUGGAUUUCUCAUGUCCCCCUUCACCUUGUUGCGCGUACUAAACCGUAAGCAGCCGUUCAGUAACCUUU
rnacentral:rRNA from 1 species